UCUAAACCCAGGAUUAACCAUCUUCCCUCCAUCCCACAUUUUAGAAGGUCUUCGUCAAAGAGGGUUUUUUCUGGACGAUCAUUGAAAAAAUAGCACCAUCUCCUGGUCCAAAGGUGAGUUGUUGGGCAUACCGUUAGGUGACGCGGUUGAUUGGCCUCCAUGCUUACUGAUGAAGUGACUGCGUUUGAUGCCUACCUACUGAAGAAGACGGCCCCGGUUCGACUCGACGCUUACGAUUUUUCCAAGAAUAUGUAAGCAAAUUGUACCGGGAAAAUGUCUAUCCAUUACAAGUUCAAAUCGGCGAUUGACUAUGAUACAAUUACGUUUGAUGGCCUGCAUAUCUCAGUUGCCGACUUAAAAAAGGCAAUUGUCUACCAGAAGAAAUUGGGCAAGGCUACAGACUUUGACCUUAUGAUCACAAAUGCGCAGACAAAUGAAGUUUAUACGGAUGAAUCUGCAUUGAUUGCCAAGAACACUUCAUUGAUUGUUGCGCGGGUUCCUGUAGCUGGUGCCACCAACAAAAAAUUCUGGGAUAGAGGCGAACCUUCAUUGAUCGGAACUUCAAGUGCGUCGUCGUCUUCGUCAUCAAAGGGUGGUCCCCCGCCGACCAGAAAUGAAAACGAAGUCACAGUUGCCAUGGCGAACAUCAGUGCUGAAUCUUCCGGUUCCGCGCUCGACAAUUUGGCCCAGGCAACUGAUCUGUCACGGAGUGAAGCUUCCGAAGAGGACAAAAUCAAAGCGAUGAUGACCCAAUCAACUCAGGAUUAUGAUCCGUCUAAAUACAUGAAAAUUCGUGGUCAAGGCCAGGUUGGACCUGUUCCUGGUAACUAUUGCUGUUUUAAAUGUGGUAUGCCUGGUCAUUGGAUCAAGCAAUGCCCAUUAAAUCUGACAAUGGAUAUUAAGAAAAGCACGGGAAUUCCACGUAGUUUCAUGGUCCCUGUUGAAGGACCAGAAGUUCCUGGUGCGAUGAUGACUCCAUCUGGCCAUUUUGCCGUCCCAGCAAUUGAUCAUGAGGCAUAUCGGGAGGUCAAGAAAGAAAGACCGCCUUUUCAGGCUGAUUCGCCUACCCCUGAGAUAGCCAAACCUGUCAUUCCAUCUGAAUUACUUUGUUCUUUAUGCAAAGAUUUGCUAUCGGACGCAGUACUUAUUCCCUGUUGUGGUGACUCUUUCUGUGAUGAUUGUAUACGAGCUCUCCUUCUUGAUUCAGAAGAACAAGAAUGCCCCCAGUGUCAUACGAAAGCUGUUUCUCCCGACACGUUGAUACCUAAUCGAUUUCUGCGUACCGCCGUAACAAACUUCCGCAGUGAAACGGGCUAUACAAAAGCUACGCCCGUUGCGCCUGCCGUUAUCGAGCCUGUGGUUGUUCCAGAAGUUAAGGAAGACGUUGAAGAGGAAAAAGAAGAGCCCGAACUUAUUUUGGAGGAUGAGGAAUUCAAAGAAGAAAUGGUUGCUUCUCCAGCGGUAGACGAAGAGUUCAUUGAAGAACCCAGCGAGCCACCACCACCAGGAGGGGAAAGUCUUGAAGAGGUUAGAAUCCCUACACCUACAGUCGACGAAAAGCCAGCUGCUGCGGAAGUGAACCAAUCUGAUGUGGUUAAACAGUCACCUACUGCACCAUCCAAAACUGUCACCCCAGCUGUCAACAAUUUGUCCAUUUUAGCUCAGAAAGCACCCUUAAUUGCAUUACAGCAAGCUUUGUUGCAAGGAAAUCCACUCUUGCUUGGCUCGCAGAAUAUACAACAGAUUGCCCUAAUUCAACAAGGGCUAAUGGCGAUGCAACGUAUCCCUCAUUCUUCGCAGUCAGCCCCCCUGUUGCCUACCCCUAGUACUGUACAGACUGCACCAGCCCCGCCAGCAUUACCGCCACAGAAUUCUGUGCCGAUCCAGCCCCUUAUGACUGCCCAGCCUCCCACUCACAUGCCACCGCCGGGAUUCCCGCGAUCGAUGCCGCCACCCCGGUUUCAGGGUCCAUCCAUCCCACCACCCGGAGCUAGACCAAUGCUACCACCAGGAGGACCAAGAGGGCUACCUCCGAUGGGUUACCCAGGUGCUCCACCAUUUCCCCCCAACGGCAUGGGAAUGCCUCCAGGUUACGGCAACCAUGCUUCCAGUGCUGCCAAUCAGCUGGCCAGCCAUCCGAUCUUACAGCAAGGUGUGAUAGAAGAUCCCUUGGCUGCCUUCGAAAAACUCCUGAAAGAGAAAGAAGAACGUGAUAGGGCACGAAAAAAACGAAGAUCGAUUUCGCGUUCACGAAGUCGGUCUCGGUCUAGAACACGUCGGUCCAAAUCACCUCGACAGCGCAGUCGAUCACGAAGUGGAUCUCCACCCCGAAGGCGUUCUCGAUCUCAUUCCCCCAGUCGUCGAAGACGAAGUCCAGCUGUGCGUGGUCGUAGGGGUAGAUCGCGAUCACGUUCUCCAUCAGGUGGAAGAUCUCCUAGUCCAAGAAGUGGCGGACGACAUGGUUUCUAUGAUCGAUCACCUUCACACGGAUCGCCCGGAAGGUAUCCUCGUGAGUACCGCGAAGAUUUCAGCACUGCUGCAUCAGCAAACUAUUAUCCUCCCUACGGUUAUCCGCCUAUGGGUCCGCAAGGCCCACCGAUGCGAGGAUACGGUGGCCCUCCAGGUCCUAUGGGCCCGAUAGGCAGGGGUGGCCCAAUGGGAGGUUAUGUGCCACGAGGACCCCACUUCGGAAUUGGCAUGCCGAGAGGAAUGGGCCCGCGCGGGCCUUAUCCUCCUGGAUACAUGGGACCAAGAGGACCAAUGGGAAUUGUAGGUGCUCCUCCAUCUCUGCUUUCGCUAGACUUGGGUCGAGGGCGUGGAUAUCGGGAGGAACGACGAGCUGAUUACGAGCGUGAAUAUUAUCCCGAUUCAGACAGGACCCGUCGAUCGCCUCCACCCCCUCCACCAGGAGAAUUUGAAUCGGACGCUCCUCUUAUUUACACGAAACCUCGGCGUCCUGAUCAGCCAGAAAAAGUUCCAGAGAAACCCAGGGAGAGGGUGAAGGAACGCGAACGUGAAAGGGAACAUGGCUAUAUGAAGGAUAGCCGUGAACGAGAUCGAGAAAGAGAUAGAGAUCGAGGUGAUCGAGACAAGGACAGAGAACGUGACCGUGACCGAGAGCGCGAAAAGGAUCGAGAACGAGACAGAGAACGAGAUCGUGACCGUGAAAAGGUUCGAUCCCGUCACGAUGGCCGGGAUACAAAAGAGAGCAGCCGAAGGGCGGAAGUUGUAUCGCGGGAACGGGAACGUGAGCGUGGGGGCUCCCACAGUUCGGUCAGUAGCAGAUCCAGCACGGCGACGAAAGAUAAAUCCAAAGAAAAAGAAAAGGACCGUGAUAAGGACAAGGAGAAAAAAAAGGAAAAGAAAGACAAGGAUGACGAAGACAAGAAAAAAGACAAGAAACGCAAAAAGAAGAAAGAAAAGGAAAAGGAGAAGGAAAAAGAAAAGGACAAGAAGGACAAGAAGAAGAGCAAACAUGAGAAAAAGAAGAGUGUCGACAUUGAAGACCAAGCUGAGGCUGCAAAAACACAAAGCCAACCAGAGCAACCAGUUCCGGGUGAUUGUAGCGGAUUCGAUGAUGCAGUUGCUACGGAGGCUGAUAAAAGUCAAUUGGAGAAUGUUGACAAUAAAGAAAGCAAUGACCAGCGAGUUGGGACAGUGCAAGAGGAUGAAGCCGCCUUAGAAGAUGUGCUCAUCAUAACAACAGAUAAAAGCCUCGAAUCGCUCGUGGACGAUGUAGCACCUGCUGAAGAAGAUGCCGAUCGCCAGAGAACGCAAGUUAGGAAGGAACGAAGCCGCGAAAGAGAGAAGGAUGACAAAGUAGUCAAAGAUAAAGUUCUUCCGCUGCCGCACUCGCGUUGGGAAGAAGAUUCGGAAGAAGAAGAAGCAUCGGAUUCCUUUAAGAACGUGUCCGACAUUGUCUCAAUCGGAGCAGAUCCUGGACCAAUCAAAAGGGCAGAUAACGCCAUCUUUCGUCGAGCAAUAAGCGCAAUCAAGCCGAAAGUGAUUGAAAUUAAAUUGCGACCAGAACGGCGUGUUCUGCUUGAUUCUUCCGCACCAGAGAAGGUUAUUGGAGAUCUUGACUUGGAUAUUAAUAAUACAAGAGUAUCUCCAGAUUCCUUACUUAAUCUGAGAGUUGCACCACCACCGUUGUUGAUACCGAAAUUCAAUCCUGCCCCUGUUGAUCUGAAACUUCCUGAAAUCGACGACAAGAAGAAAUCGGUCCGGGACAGGUUAGGCGACAAAGUUGAACCGGAACAACAACCACUUGCUAGGAAUCACGAUAAGGUAGAUGACACCAAAGAUAAAGAUAAAUCUAAGGAUAAAAAGGACGGAGGUAAAAAAGACAAGGACAAACGAUCUAGUCCUGCCAAAGAGAAGAAGGAUCGCAAAGAUGAUAAACGUGACAAAGACAAACGAAGUCGGACAAAGGAGAAAGACAAGGAGAAGAAACACAAGCGGAAAGAAAAGGAAGAAAAGAAAAACAAGGAUGAUAAAGAGAAAAAGGAUGAAGUGAAGCCUUCUAGUGACGUUCGCCACGGCGACAAAACAAAAUCGAGCAAAAAUGAUGAGAAACAAAUCGCAGAUAAAGACAAAGAAAAAUCGGAAAAAAUCAAGAAGCGGAAGCGUUCCUGGUCUAGUAGUACGAGCAGUAGUAGUUCCAGCAGUACUUCAGAGUCGGAUAGCAGCUCAUCUGAAUCGGGUGGUGGUAGUAAGCGUAAGAAGAAAAGCCGAAAGAAGCGCCACGUCUCUUCGAGCAGUGAUUCAUCCGAUUCGAGCCGCGAAACAAAGAAGAAGAAGAAAAAGUCUAAAAAGACGUCAUCGAAGCGGAAGCAGAAAAAGGCGUCGUCGCAGUGAAAACAGCGCUUCUCUGUAACAUUUGGACUAGCCUUCGUUUUCCUCAUGAACUUUGACCCGUUAACCGGGAUUUUCACACGGAUCGUCCACAGUUCAAAUAUUUACAUUGCGGUGGAAAACGAUGCAAUGUAAACAAGACGAUUUGUUUAUACAAUCUCAUAGUACGUCCAACAUGUGCCUAUUUGUAUGUAGUAUGUAUGUAGUACAUACACACAUCGGGCACUAUUGAGUCUAAGCAGAGAAAAUAAAACCAAGACUCAUGGCACGUUUCUGUUAUUCUAUUCGCGUGUAGAUACAUCGAGACUAUCUCACGAUCGGUAUCGACUGAAGGUAGUAAUUCUUGUAAAGGUUUAUCUUUCAAAGUCACGCAUUUUCUUUUCCAUCCUCGAACCAUCCCGUGUUUAAACACACACCGGUGGGUAGUAUAAGAUUAUUUACACGUGGGCGGAUCUGGUGCAAAUGUUUAUGGAUGGAAACAGCAGUCGUUGGAGGGGAGACCAGCGUAUAGUCUCCCAACACGCGAACUCGUUUCUCCACUAGUGGACUUGCUGCGGCUCGCAACGCCUUUUGCUAUAUCGGUAUAACAUCCAACAAGAAAUAACAAAUAGUUCAUAAGCCCAACUGAGAAGACGGAUGUGCUGUCUGUUGAUGUAAACGAAUGGUCGCGUGUUGGCGGUGGGAAAGCAAUUUGAUGGUGGGUAUUGAAUAAGAAAGAGCAGAAAAAAGAAAAACUCACGCAUUGACAGAUAUUCACGUUCGGAUACAUCCGUUCGUGAUUAUUACUUCCCAAUUACAAUUAGGUAGUUUUCAUUGCAAUUCCAAGAAAGAGACCUGUAAGUAAUGAGUCAACGUAAUGCAUGAAGGCUCUGCUAGUAGCAGACUAAAAGUCACGCACUUUUUUGUAUCUUUUGCCGCCAGAGUCGAAGCAAAGAUGGAAGAUGCGACAGCUGCCCGCGAUAAAGACUGCCAUGAUGAUCUUGAUCCUGUGCAGCAUGAUUUCAUUUCAACGGGAAAGAGCAGCAGCAAGCAGCCCUAUAUCUUCUUCUUCUGUUCUAUUCCAAAACAUCAAGAGGAGAUAAUGGCCAGAGCCGACCUCUUGGUGCUGCUGCAUGCCCUGACUAGUCAAUUAUACACUCUACUCUAGCUCACUGUUGUGUGUAUAUACAUCACAAGCGUCUCUUUCUGUAUGCUGUGUUUCUUUUCUCCCCCCUUUCUAAAAACUUGCUUCUAAUACUGGUAUUUACGAGUGUGUUUCGAGAGGUCCUGCUGGCUUCGUUCCCGCACGUGCUCCCCACUUGAAGCCACCCUAGACAAAGCUGGUUUUUUUUCACUCAAAGAUGAGACUCAUGUGCUCCGUUUCGAAUCCUCAGUUGUAAAUGGUAAAAAACCAAACAACGAUUUAAAAGUCGGGAAAGAAGAAGAAAGAAACAGAAAAUAUAAAUAUCUUUUCGGACUUUUGGUAUGUGAACGAUUCCGGUGUGCACUGGAUGGAUCGUUGCCCCUUAUCUCAACACCAACAUAAAGACGCGCGGUCUCUCUAUGUCAAUCUGUCACAUAACAUCUCUUCCACUUCUCUCGAAAAAACCUUUUUUUUUUUUUGCCUUUCUUCACCCCGAGCGUGGAAGAUGUGCAAGAAAGAUCAGACAAAUUUACACUCUAGCAGACUACAAAGAGUGGUGAAUCAUUUUCUCAUCUUGGCCAUCGUCACGGCAGUUGCAUUAUCAUCAAAUGAAAUGAGUCACAUAAAGUAUAUACCGAUGAAAGCCACUUUGCCACUGCCAUAAAAAAAAAAAGAAAGCCGUAGGGCAAGAUUCGUGUCUUCGUGUCUCUCUAUUUCAGUUGGUAUUUUUUCAGUUUCCGCCUCCUUUUUGGCUGCAUUCCGAAGAAAUGCAACGUUGCACAGCAAUUUCGACGCCAGGUGGCGGUGAACGAAAAACAUACACUACAGUCCCAGCACUCGACUCAAGGCAACUAGUUCGAGUUUGAGACGCGCGCGCAUCCUGCUGUGUGUGUUUGUGAGUGAGGCCGUGGUGUUGCGGAUUCCUUGACUAUUAUACUCGAAACGUGCUCACGAUCGGGACCUUCUCAGUGUCAGCGUGACUCGACUGUGUGCUGGUUCGUUAUUGGAUGUUCGUGAAAAUCCACGUUGGCGAUCGCCAGUGUGUGUAACGAGGAGGAGGAAAAGUGGCAGCGGCUGGCCCACUCACUCAAGUUCGCCCGUUUCGUUAGGGAAAGGAAGUUGGAUUUACCCGCGGGCUACGGUCAGGUGUGACAGGGCCCUCUUUCAUUCGUAUCUACCACCACCCUCUUUACCUUUGCCGAGGGUUGUGAGAGAGACGAGAGAAAAAGACCGUGGGAAUGGUUUCUUUGUCAUCCGCAAGGCCAGAAUGCUUCGUCUAGAUG